GUGCAAGUCGAACGGCAGCGGACCUUCGGGUGCCGGCGAGUGGCGAACGGGUGAGUAAUGCAUCGGAACGUGCCAUUGAGUGGGGGAUAACGUAGCGAAAGUUGCGCUAAUACCGCAUAUUCUGUGAGCAGGAAAGCAGGGGACCGCAAGGCCUUGCGCUCUUUGAGCGGCCGAUGUCAGAUUAGCUAGUUGGUGAGGUAACGGCUUACCAAGGCGACGAUCUGUAGCGGGUCUGAGAGGAUGAUCCGCCACACUGGAACUGAGACACGGUCCAGACUCCUACGGGAGGCAGCAGUGGGGAAUUUUGGACAAUGGGGGCAACCCUGAUCCAGCCAUGCCGCGUGAGUGAAGAAGGCCUUCGGGUUGUAAAGCUCUUUCGGCCGGGAAGAAAUCGCAUGGGUUAAUACCCUGUGUGGAUGACGGUACCGGCAUAAGAAGCACCGGCUAACUACGUG
rnacentral:rRNA from 1 species